rnacentral:rRNA from 1 species
AACGCUGGCGGCGCGCUUAACACAUGCAAGUCGAACGAGAAAGGGAGCAAUCCUGAGUAAAGUGGCGUACUGGUGAGUAACACGUGGAUAUCUACCUCUUGGUGGGGAAUAACCUGGGGAAACCUGGGCUAAUACCGCAUAAGUUCGUGAGAAGAAAGGCGCAAGUCGCCGAGAGAGGAGUCCGCGGUCGAUUAGGUAGUUGGCGGGGUAAGAGCCCACCAAGCCAAAGAUCGAUAGCCGGCCUGAGAGGGCACACGGCCACACUGGCACUGAAACACGGGCCAGACUCCUACGGGAGGCAGCAGUGGGGAAUCUUGCACAAUGGGGGAAACCCUGAUGCAGCGACGCCGCGUGAGCGAUGAAGCCCUUCGGGGUGUAAAGCUCUUUCGGCAGGAACGAUAAUGACGGUACCUGCAGAAGA